AAAGUUGACAAUAGUACUGUCUGCUAUAAAAUGUAGAUAGAUGAGCAAAAUCUAACUUGUUUUUAUAUAUCAACAAUUUUCAUGUUUUAUGUGGUUUCUUUAUAAUCUUCACAGAAAUCAAAAAUUCAGUUUGAAAAUCCAUUUUUCAAAUCAAAAUACCAAAGAUGGAGGGGGACACCUUUUUGUUGCUGUGAUUCAAUAAAUCAUUUGAUAAACUGCAGAAAGAAUGAUCAUUGGUAAGAUCUGACAAAUCAGCUCUAUAUAAGAAGCCAUCACAUCUGUUACCAAAAUUUCCCCCUUCUUUCACCUACAGAAUAUUUUAGUUGCACCUUCUGAAUCAGGAAAUCCAGCUUUACUCAGUUUCACAGAGCAAUCAAGGGGAUAAAAUGUGUACAUUCAUGUGGAGUAUCCAAGCUAAGUCAAUGCCUGCUAUUUUCAUUUGAGCAUUGGUGUCUUUUUGCAAGACGAGAAAAGCACA
rnacentral:lncRNA from 1 species